rnacentral:rRNA from 1 species
UCCAGACUCCUACGGGAGGCAGCAGUGAGGAAUAUUGGUCAAUGGCCGCAGGGCUGAACCAGCCAAGUCGCGUGAGGGAUGACGGUCCUAUGGAUUGUAAACCUCUUUUGUCAGGGAGCAAAGGGCGCCACGUGUGGCGUUUUGCGAGUACCUGAAGAAAAGGCAUCGGCUAACUCCGUGCCAGCAGCCGCGGUAAUACGGAGGAUGCGAGCGUUAUCCGGAUUUAUUGGGUUUAAAGGGUGCGCAGGCGGAAUGUCAAGUCAGCGGUAAAAUUUCGGGGCUCAACCUCGCUCCGCCGUUGAAACUGGCGUUCUUGAGUGGGCGAGAAGUGCGCGGAAUGCGUGGUGUAGCGGUGAAAUGCAUAGAUAUCACGCAGAACUCCGAUUGCGAAGGCAGCGCACCGGCGCCCUACUGACGCUCAGGCACGAAAGCGUGGGUAUCGAACAGGAUUAGAUACCCGCGUA